rnacentral:rRNA from 1 species
CCUACGGGAGGCAGCAGUGGGGGAUAUUGCACAAUGGGGGGAACCCUGAUGCAGCGACGCCGCGUGGGUGAAGAAGCGCCUCGGCGCGUAAAGCCCUGUCAGCAGGGAAGAAAAUGACGGUACCUGAAGAAGAAGCCCCGGCUAACUACGUGCCAGCAGCCGCGGUAAUACGUUGGGGGCAAGCGUUAUCCGGAUUUACUGGGUGUAAAGGGGGCGCAGACGGGGAUGCAAGCCAGGGGUGAAAGCCUGGGGCCCAACCCCGGGACUGCUCUUGGAACUGUGUGGCUGGAGUGCAGGAGGGGCAGGCGGAAUUCCUGGUGUAGCGGUGAAAUGCGUAGAUAUCAGGAGGAACACCGAUGGCGAAGGCGGCCUGCUGGACUGCAACUGACGUUGAGGCCCGAAAGCGUGGGGAGCAAACAGGAUUAGAUACCCCAGUAGUC